AUUGAACGCUGGCGGCAUGCCUUACACAUGCAAGUCGAACGGCAGCACGGGAGCAAUCCUGGUGGCGAGUGGCGAACGGGUGAGUAAUACAUCGGAACGUGCCCAGUUGUGGGGGAUAGCCCGGCGAAAGCCGGAUUAAUACCGCAUACGACCUAUGGGUGAAAGCGGGGGAUCGCAAGACCUCGCGCAAUUGGAGCGGCCGAUGUCAGAUUAGGUAGUUGGUGGGGUAAAAGCCUACCAAGCCGACGAUCUGUAGCUGGUCUGAGAGGACGACCAGCCACACUGGGACUGAGACACGGCCCCAGACUCCUACGGGAGGCAGCGGUGGGGAAUUUUGGACAAUGGGUGCAAGCCUGAUCCAGCCAUGCCGCGUGUGGGAAGAAGGCCUCGGGUUGUAAACCACUUUUGUCAGGGAAAGAAACGGCCUAGGCUAACAUCUUGGGCUAAUGACGGUACCUGAAGAAUAAGCACCGGCUAACUACGUGCCAGCAGCCGCGGUAAUNCGUAGGGUGCAAGCGUUAAUCGGAAUACAGGGCGUAAAAGCGUGCGCAGGCGGCUUUGCAAGAC
rnacentral:rRNA from 1 species